rnacentral:antisense_RNA from 2 species
CUCAAUGGGCGGCGGUGGCAGGGAGGCUUAGGCCUGCCGGGUUCCCUAGUUAACCGGUCUUCCAACCUUGUCAUCUGCCGCCCUCCCCG